GGAGCUUGCUCCCGGAUGUUAGCGGCGGACGGGUGAGUAACACGUGGGUAACCUGCCUGUAAGACUGGGAUAACUCCGGGAAACCGGAGCUAAUACCGGAUAGUUCCUUGAACCGCAUGGUUCAAGGAUGAAAGACGGUUUCGGCUGUCACUUACAGAUGGACCCGCGGCGCAUUAGCUAGUUGGUGAGGUAACGGCUCACCAAGGCGACGAUGCGUAGCCGACCUGAGAGGGUGAUCGGCCACACUGGGACUGAGACACGGCCCAGACUCCUACGGGAGGCAGCAGUAGGGAAUCUUCCGCAAUGGACGAAAGUCUGACGGAGCAACGCCGCGUGAGUGAUGAAGGUUUUCGGAUCGUAAAGCUCUGUUGUUAGGGAAGAACAAGUGCAAGAGUAACUGCUUGCACCUUGACGGUACCUAACCAGAAAGCCACGGCUAACUACGUGCCAGCAGCCGCGGUAAUACGUAGGUGGCAAGCGUUGUCCGGAAUUAUUGGGCGUAAAGGGCUCGCAGGCGGUUUCUUAAGUCUGAUGUGAAAGCCCCCGGCUCAACCGGGGAGGGUCAUUGGAAACUGGGAAACUUGAGUGCAGAAGAGGAGAGUGGAAUUCCACGUGUAGCGGUGAAAUGCGUAGAGAUGUGGAGGAACACCAGUGGCGAAGGCGACUCUCUGGUCUGUAACUGACGCUGAGGAGCGAAAGCGUGGGGAGCGAACAGGAUUAGAUACCCUGGUAGUCCACGCCGUAAACGAUGAGUGCUUAGUGUUAGGGGGUUUCCGCCCCUUAGUGCGGCAGCUAACGCAUUAAGCACUCCGCCUGGGGAGUACGGUCGCAAGACUGAAACUCAAAGGAAUUGACGGGGGCCCGCACAAGCGGUGGAGCAUGUGGUUUAAUUCGAAGCAACGCGAAGAACCUUACCAGGUCUUGACAUCCUCUGACAACCCUAGAGAUAGGGCUUUCCCUUCGGGGACAGAGUGACAGGUGGUGCAUGGUUGUCGUCAGCUCGUGUCGUGAGAUGUUGGGUUAAGUCCCGCAACGAGCGCAACCCUUGAUCUUAGUUGCCAGCAUUCAGUUGGGCACUCUAAGGUGACUGCCGGUGACAAACCGGAGGAAGGUGGGGAUGACGUCAAAUCAUCAUGCCCCUUAUGACCUGGGCUACACACGUGCUACAAUGGACAGAACAAAGGGCUGCGAGACCGCAAGGUUUAGCCAAUCCCACAAAUCUGUUCUCAGUUCGGAUCGCAGUCUGCAACUCGACUGCGUGAAGCUGGAAUCGCUAGUAAUCGCGGAUCAGC
rnacentral:rRNA from 1 species